rnacentral:rRNA from 1 species
GGAUGAACGCUGGCGGCGUGCUUAAUACAUGCAAGUCGAACGAAGAGCCCUUAACCGAAGAUGAUGACGUGCUUGCACUGAAUCUGAUUCACCUUAGGGUACUGAGUGGCGGACGGGUGAGUAACGCGUGGGUAACCUGCCUUAGACAGGGGGAUAACAUCAAGAAAUUGGUGCUAAUACCGCAUAUGCUCACAGUAUCGCAUGAUACAGUGAGGAAAACUCCGGUGGUCUAAGAUGGACCCGCGUCUGAUUAGCUAGUUGAGGGGUAACGGCCCACCAAGGCGACGAUCAGUAGCCGACUUGAGAGAGUGAUCGGCCACAUUGGGACUGAGACACGGCCCAAACUCCUACGGGAGGCAGCAGUAGGGAAUAUUGCACAAUGGGGGAAACCCUGAUGCAGCGACGCCGCGUGAAGGAUGAAGUAUUUCGGUAUGUAAACUUCUAUCAGCAAGGAAGAAAAUGACGGUACUUGACUAAGAAGCCCCGGCUAAAUACGUGCCAGCAGCAGC